UACGUAGGGUGCAAGCGUUGUCCGGAAUUAUUGGGCGUAAAGAGCUCGUAGGCGGUCUGUCGCGUCGGAUGUGAAAAUCCAGGGCUCAACCCUGGACCUGCAUUCGAUACGGGCAGACUAGAGUUCGGUAGGGGAGACUGGAAUUCCUGGUGUAGCGGUGAAAUGCGCAGAUAUCAGGAGGAACACCGGUGGCGAAAGCGGCUUCCUGGUCCAGCACCGACGUUCAGGCACGAAAGCGUGGGGAGCAAACAGG
rnacentral:rRNA from 1 species